CCAGUACUGGUAGAAGCAGAGAUCUAAGUUAAUUCUGAGCAUUGCUACCAUGUCAUAUCACUGUGGUGGCCCAUGUAGAAAGAUUAUUUCUCUGAUUUUGGCCCUCCCACUGUAGAUAUCAGCUGUAGACUUUGUAGUUUGGAAUCAGAAAGCGUUGGUGAGUCCUCUCACUCCCUAGCCAGAAAAUGGAGAGGUAGGUGCUUCUUACAGUGUUAAAAUGGUUGCAGAAAUACCAUAUGAUCACCUUGUCAUGGAUUUUCUGAACAGAUAUCUAAUCAAGGCCUUUGAUGUUAUUUUGGGGAGUCGACUUGAAAUACAAAUUCUAAGAAUGACGGAGAACUAAAAGGCAGGAAAUCACUCUCCUGAGUUUAUGAUGCCUAUGUCUACAUUAUAUGCUGUAGCUGGGGGCUGGUAUAUGACCUUUGGUUCUUAAUGUGCAAACAUCCUCACUGAAAAAAGAGCAAUCCUCAUCUCUUUAAGGAACUGCCAUCCUUCAUGUCCUUGUUGUCAGACUCAGAAAUACAUGCACAAGAAGAGUGGCACUUCUUUUUUUUUUUUUUUUUUUUUUUUUUUUCCAAACUCCACCUCUUUGUACAUAAAGACAAGUCCAGAGAAGAUCUAGGAAAACACUUCGUGGUGAAUAACCUACCGGCUACCUUUCAUCACUUUCUCUCUUCAGGGAUUAUGAUUUUCUUGAAUGGAUGCCCUCUCUCUCAGUACAGUUCUGUUGAUGGCAAAGCUGAAGAUGCAUUUCAGCACGUUGGGCGAGAUCUGAAAAGGCCGUUAAACAAGAUGAGGACCUACCAAGCUAAUGGAGCAACUCCUUCUCAAUCACAACAUUGAACUGCCUCACUGAUUUCCGUGCCUUUAUCCUUCCAGUGCCCCUUAAUUGCUUUGGUUCUGUAUUCAUAAGUGAAGGUGCAGUGACUCAGCGUUUUGCCCGUCUGAGCUGUCUGUCCUUGGUGGUUGAAAACGUCUCCAAAGCAGAUCUGUGUCUCCAAUCUAAUAAAACCCACUGACUUACCCUGCAAUCUUUGCUGAUUGCCUUGUUGCUGUGAGGUUGUAUUUCCCAAAACAGGCAGAGAUGUUACAAUACACCAUGAUGAAACAUCUGGAAAUUGAAAAGCAACUACUGCAGAAAGAAAAUGGAGGCGGUUGUCCUACAAUGGAGAGAAGCUUUGCUCUGCAGAGCCGAGGACAAACUGCACUGAGGCUCCAACCUGCCACGGCAGGAAACGGGCAAUUGGGAAACCCAUGGCAUGACUGCUGCUGAGCUCAGGAUUGCUCAAAAAAUGCAUUCCACUUGUAUAGGAGAGCCAACAAAACCAUGGGGUUAAGGAACAGGUAGGCUCCCUUUUCUCUAAAGCCAAGAUGCUGGUGAUGGAUCCAUAUAAGAAAAGCUAUGGAAAAACUGUUGCCUCACAUUACUUUAAUCCUCCAUAGUUAGUGCACAGUAACUUGAGUUUUGGGGUGGUUUAAACCAUCUAGAACAUCACCUUAUGGUGCCUUUACAGAACAAAGAGGAUUAUUUUCUACUAGUGUACUCGUGGCUGGAAGCUUUCUGAAACUUUCUGAACAUAUUGUUUCUGUCUUGAAAAUACAUUUUUUUUUCCACAAAUAAAACUUAAAAAAAAAAAAAAGUGGGUUUUAGCAGGUUGCAAUUUGCAAACAUAUGUGUGAAUCUGUGCAUAUGCAAAUGUAGCAUUUUGCAGGAUGGAAAUGUUCUGUCUUAAUCUUGUCAGAAAAGAGAACUACCAGUUUUCACACUGUCAUGACCUUUUAUUUUGAAGAUCGCUUUGUAUGUCAUAAUAGUCAUUAUAACAUUUUAAAUUAUUGUAGUAGAUUAUGUCUAUUUCUUACAUUUGAAAACUUCUGAUUUUAAUCCAAAUUGUUAUGCCCUCUCCCACCAAAAAUAAAGUAUUUUUUAGAUUAUUUUGA